UACGGGGGGGGCAAGCGGUUGUUCGGAAUUACUGGGCGUAAAGGGCUCGUAGGCGGCCAACUAAGUCAGACGUGAAAUCCCUCGGCUUAACCGGGGAACUGCGUCUGAUACUGGAUGGCUUGAGUUUGGGAGAGGGAUGCGGAAUUCCAGGUGUAGCGGUGAAAUGCGUAGAUAUCUGGAGGAACACCGGUGGCGAAGGCGGCAUCCUGGACCAACACUGACACUGAGGAGCGAAAGCCAGGGGAGCAAACGGG
rnacentral:rRNA from 1 species